UCAUGGAGUGGUACUGGUGUUUGCGUAAGCGAAAGCCCGCAUCAUCCGCCAACCCAUCCUUGGCUAGGGCCGGCGUGUAGGUGUGUCCUGCUAUUCGUAGGCGCGCGCUACCGACGGACCCAGGCCUCUCUGCCACGGUGCCCCCGUAAUUUGCGGACCCUCUCCUCACAAGGGAGAGGACGCCGUGCGGGUGGUACGGGUCGGUGUUUCAGGCCACACUCGGUUCCAUUGUGCGGUGGUUAUCCAUCUCACAGCGGAUUUGGGUGUGAACCUCCUGGCUCCGGCCGGGAGCUCCACGCUCCGUUUCCACAGCACUUUGGUGCUCGGCAACGGGCACGCAAUGCGGGCGCUCUCGCCCCGUUGUGGGGGCUCCCACAACCACUAUCCUACAUCCUUUAACCUGUGCAAUAGCUUGAUUGUCUAGCACGUCGAGCAAAAUAACGUUUAAUAACACUGUACAAUGGAUUUCUUGGCUCCCACAUCGAUGAAGAACGCAGCAAAGCGCGAUAGGUAGUGUGAAUUGCAGAAUUCCGUGAAUCAUCGAAUUUUUGAACGCAUAUUGCGCCCAAGUCUCCGGACUUGGGCAUGUCUGCCUCAGCGUCGUUUUUAAUGGCUUGCCGUGCAUGGCUCUUGCGGUGUCAGAAAAGUUACCCACAGCGAUAACUGGAGGCGCGCAUGGGCUGAAACAUUGCCGAUAUAUCGAGUGGGUCACCAUUCGACGUACGACAGCAGCCAUCCUCGGCACUGCUCAUCGUAAGCAAGCUACCACGCGUGGCCGACUGCUUUCUCAUGGGCAAGUGAAUCAACGAGGCAGCGGCGGCAUCUCGGAUGUCGCAUGUUGUCUGGCUGUCAAAACC
rnacentral:misc_RNA from 1 species